rnacentral:rRNA from 1 species
UACAGAGGGUGCAAGCGUUGUUCGGAAUCACUGGGCGUAAAGCGCGCGCAGGCGGAUGGUUGCGUCCGGAGUGAAAUUUCGCCGCUCAACGGCGAAGCUGCUUUGGAUACGGACCGUCUAGGGACCGGUAGAGGCUGGUAGAAUUGCAGGUGUAGCGGUGGAAUGCGUAGAGAUCGGGAAGAACAUCGGUGGCGAAGGCGGCCUGCUGGGCUGUUGCUGACGCUGAGGCGCGACAGCGUGGGGAGCAAACAGG